UAUCUUCACUUUGUCGAUCAUGCAAUAAACUAAAAGAUACGAAGGAAUGAUAUUUAUCUCUCAUUACUUAGACUCUGAACUCAAAUAUCUUAUUCAAAUCUGAGUAAUAUUGUGAAAGUCUGAUUUGUGAGUGCGCGCGCGGACACCUAGAUGGCGUGUGAUUCUUACUCAAUCGUCGUAACCGUGGGCUUUGGCCGAGACUCGUGGCCUUUCUUCCGCAGUCCAUCUUGGAGAGUACACGUAUUCGCGGAGGUGUCCCGAUCGUGUCACAAGCAGCGGAAUUCUAAGCUUAUUGCACCAGUGUAGCAGUGCAGCUGAAAAGAACAGACCACUAGUAACCAGGAGAGGAACGAGAAGAGUCCGGAAGCUGAUACGCUUCCCAGGUACUAACGACUAGCCGUCUACAGCAAUUCUAAGGUCCGUGCGUGUUCUUGCGAGUCUGUGCGCGUUUGGAUUGUGGAAACAGUAGCAGAAGACAACACACUUACGGUCAAGUGUUAACAAAAAUACAAACCCACCUCUCAACAGAGAAUUACGAAAUAACAGCGGAGGAAAUAAGCGUCACGAGAUUAACACUCCGACAAAACCAAUUAUUAAAAUCGACAAAAAUAUCCAAAGAUCCCUUUCAGAAGAAGAGAUAAAUAGAUUUUGUAAAAUUAUAUCAAGCGUUCGCCGAACACGACCAAAAGGGAAAAAUUUGCGAACAACUAGAUACAUCAUCAUAGUUUCUCAUAUUGUUCAUCGAACUUCUGUCCGAAAGGGACAGUUCAAAGAGUAAUACGUGAAUAUCGUCGCUGAAUCCUUUAACCCCAAACAUUAUCAAGCAGUCAUUCGCUAUGGAAAACAAACAAAACACAACACAGAACGAAUCAAUAAAUGUUGUAAAGAUGGAUGUCUUCCUAGAAAGAACUCCAGAGUUUUACCAGAAUAACCUAAAUAGAAUUCCAUUAAUUCCAAUGGAGAAAUGGAACCGUUACCUACAACAUUGGAAAAAUAAAAAUGAUGAAGUGCGUCGAGAAUACUUGGCAGCAGUCACUUCAAUUCUGGAAGAGGCGCAAAAAUUUAAAAAACAAAUGGAAAAAUACAAAGAAAAGUAGGAAGAAAUCAUUCGAGAUCUUCCUCUAUGCUGAAUUUUAAGCAACAUUAUACCAAAAAGUACGUCUUCUAAUAUCUUUAUCAAAACCUCAGGUGAGUCAACAAUUAUUAAAUUACACACCUGGUACUCUUCCGGCAACGGAUACAUCUGGAACACUCGUAACCUCUUCAUCUCUUAAUCUUCCGUUUAAACGUCAGAAACAAUGAAGUGACAUAGAAGUACCAACCCAGGAUAACGAGAUAACAGUAGAAAAAGAGCACAACAUUAGAAAGCCCCCAAAGGAACACAAAAAACGCAAAAGAAAGAAGAAGAACAUAAAAAAAAACAAAGAAGAACCAAGAGCGAUUACCAAUAUGUAGCACCUCGGACAUAAAAACCAAGACCAAGUGAUAUGAAACAAAUAAGAAAACAUCUCCUCGGACGAAGACACGAAUGAUUCGACACAGCACAAAGUCCAUGAUGAUUACUAAGUCCGGACUAAGGGUACACUGGUUUCAAAGGACAAACUGUCAAGAGUGACCUGAGAACGGGUAAGUUCGUGGUAAACUGCCGAUGGAGGAAAAAUUGGAAACCAUUCAGGAAAGGACCGAACCACAAAAAGGAAACAAAGUGACGCGGUCCAUUACAAGACCAAAGAACUUCAUCUAUAAAAGUCAUCUAAUAAUCGAAUCGAGUUAUUUGUUAUCUCUUGUUACAAUAUUUUUGUUAUCUUUUGUUAUCUCUUGAGAGCAUCAUUUUCAUGAUAAGCAUGUAUACGAUUUUUAGUUAUUUUAUUUUAUCUAAUGAAGAUAACUUUCGACGAAUAAGGACUUUACCCAGUUUUCUUUUAACAUACAAGAAUAAGACGUAAUCUGUAUUGAGAGAUUAGUUUGGGUGAGUAACUUUAUAGAACUUAACCGUACUUAGUCAUUUAUAUCUGUACAGUAAUUUUGCUUUAUCAUAAUUUUUUAAUUUUUACUGUAAUCAAUCUAAUCUAAUCAAUCAGGCUAAACAUUACCCAUAUUCUUCAACUAAUAACGAUUCUAACUGUUUGAGUCGCGGCAACGCGUUUCAGUCAGUACUGAAUAAAUCUUUUAUCGGUUAAAAAUCUGUUUAAAUCUGGUAAAAUCAUGUUCCGAAUAUAACUAACUAGGCGUCGUUUUAUAUAAGAAAAAUUUCUUUCCUUUUUUGUUAUUUCUUAGAGGAAAAAUUACCUACCAAAUGCUUAUUUUAUUUAGUUAUCUCUUUUAUGUUUAUACGCCAUUAUGAUUCUGACUUUUGUUAACGCAGAAAAUAAACAGAUGGAUCAGUUAAAUUGUUUAAUAA